rnacentral:pre_miRNA from 1 species
GUAAGACUUCCUGACGAACCACUUAUUGGAUUGAGAAUAGAUCUUGUGCAUAAAGAUUCACUGCUCUCUCCAAAUAUUAUAUACACUGAGCGUUUGAAGCUGAGCCUGAAGUAUCGAUUUCUGUAACUUCAUCAACCAAUUUAACAGUAUUUAGAACUCAACAUCUGUGCUUUGAAUCUAUAUGUACAAGAUUUAUUCUCAAUCCAAUAAGGGGUUCCACAGACAGUGCUAU